GUACACGCUGUGACUAGCAUAUCAAUAAGCGGAGGAAAAGAAACUAACAAGGAUCCCCUAGUAACGGCGAGUGAAGCGGGAAGAGCUCAAAUUUGAAAUCUUAAAGGGUUUCCCUUUACGAAUUGUAGUUUAAAGAAGUGUUUUCUGUUGAGGUUUUGGUAAAAGUUCUUCGGAAUAGGACAUCAUAGAGGGUGAGAAUCCCGUAUUUGACCUUUACUUUCAACUUUGUGAUACACUUUCAAAGAGUCGGAUUGUUUGGGAAUGCAGUCCAAAAUGGGUGGUAAAUUUCAUCUAAAGCUAAAUAUUGGCGAGAGACCGAUAGCGAACAAGUACCGUGAGGGAAAGAUGAAAAGAACUUUGAAAAGAGAGUUAAACAGUACGUGAAAUUGUCAAAAGGGAAGCGUUUGACACCAGUGUUGUUUUUCUGAAAAUCAAUUAAAGAACUGUUUAUGCUAAGCUGUUUAGACUUUAUCAGCUAUCUGUUUAGUUUUGAGCUUUUCUUUAAUGCACUUUUCAGUUAACAAGUCAACAUCAAUUUCUUUUGCUGUAAAAAAGCUUGAGGAAGGUGGCUUGAGAUUCGUCUUAAGUGUUUAUAGCCUCUUGCCUAUGCAGUCGGAGAGAUUGAGGUCUGCAGCGUAGAUCCUUCGGGGCUAAAUGCAUUUGUGCUAAGUUAUAAGCAUUUUAUAGACAACUUGUUGACUAUGAUUUGUCUUGUAGCUUACUCGCUUAUGUUAUUUUACCUACGCUUAGGAUGUUGACGCGCGUGUGUGCGU
rnacentral:rRNA from 1 species